rnacentral:rRNA from 1 species
AUACGGAGGGUCCGAGCGUUAUCCGGAUUCAUUGGGUUUAAAGGGUCCGCAGGCGGGAAAAUAAGUCAGUGGUGAAAGCCUACAGCUCAACUGUAGAACUGCCAUUGAAACUGUUUUUCUUGAGUAUAGAUGAAGUGGGCGGAAUAUAUCAUGUAGCGGUGAAAUGCAUAGAUAUGAUAUAGAACACCGAUUGCGAAGGCAGCUCACUAAACUAUUACUGACGCUCAGGGACGAAAGCGUGGGGAGCGAACAGGAUUAGAAACCCUAGUAGUCC